UAUACACGUGGGUAUAAAUGUGUAUCUAGUCAAAGUCUAUAGUUAAUAGUCAAUAGUCUUAGCGUAUGUAUAGGAGAUUAUAUAUCUUCCUUAGUUAGUAUCCUCCUGUAUAUAUACAUGUACUCUAUUUUUGUAUCAUACAUACAAUUUACAACAUUAUAUGGUAUUAGAGCUCAUCUCUUGAUACUCGAUAUUCUUGAUUACUUGCUUCCAUGGCUUUGAAUACCUCCAAUCUUCUUCAUCUUGUUACCACCACCAAUUCCUUUACCCUAAAUUUCCAGAUUCCAGCUAUCAACAUCAAGCUGGAUCGCAACAACUAUUCCUUCUGGCGUACAACGGUCAUAUCAGCGUUAGAAACCUUUGAUCUGGAAGAUUACGUCUUGAAUCCCAAACCACCAACUAAAAUUGUUGAUGUUGCGGCUAUUCCGGCAACUCCUGCCACCGCCACAUCUCCGGCUGUCGCUGCUAUACCAGCUACCACAAUACCAAAUCCAGAAUAUGCUGCUUGUAAAAAGAGAGAUCGAUUGGUUCUUUUGUGGUUCAAGUCGACACUAUCAGACAAUCCCUCCGCUCUAGUUGCCCGCUCACCCUCCUCUCGAAUUGCGUGGUAGACACUUGAAAAACUCUUUCAAACCCAAACUAGGGCUUGUCGUUUACAACUCUAAACUCAGCUUCAAACCCUUACAAAAGGGUCAAUGACAAUGAUUGAGUACAUAGAAUGGAAACGAUCGAUUUCUGAUUCUUUGGCUGUCGACGAUGAAGAUCUAAUUGGAUAUAUUCUCAACGGCCUUGACUCCUCAUACGGAGCAUUUGUUACUGCUUUUAUGAUGAAAUCAGAGGUAUUAAAUGUUGAUUAUCUUGUUGGCUUAUUGUUACAGGAAGAAGCUCGAUUAGAGCAAGAGCACCUCCGUCUUGCUUCUGUAACUCAGACAUCAGUAGUCGCACUCAAUGUAAAUCGCUCAAAUUCCCGUUCAUCUUCUUCCUACAAUGGCUCCAGUUCAGGAUUAUCCAAUGUUGCUCGAGGCACAUAUUCACGGAAGAAGAAAUCCAUUUGCCAUUUGUGUAUGAAACCAGGGCACAAGGUACUGGCAUCGUGGAAAUCAGACUGACUUUCCAUCACGCAAGCCAAACCCGAGGAAUAACUAACGUCAAGCUCACUUGACAUAGCAUCAUAGUCCCUCGACAUUCAUUGAUCCUUCAUGGUACUUUGACAUUGGGGUGACUGAUCAUGUCUCUCUUGAUAUCUCAAAGCUUAACAUUGCAGAUGCGUACAUUGGGAGUGACAAACUUCAAGUAGGCAAUGGUAAAAAUUUACAUAUUUCUCAUGUUGGAUCUUCUUCUUUGCCUAAUCUCAAAUUACCAAAUGUGCUAAUUGUUCCUGCACUCACUAAAAAUCUUCUUAGUGUGUCCAAACUAACUGAUGAUAAUGAUGUUUACAUAGAGUUUUGGCCUAAAUCUUGUUCUGUUAAGACAUUUAAGUGCAAAACACCGCUCCAAGGGGAUAAAAAGGAAGGUUUAUAUCGAUUACCAUGUCGCAUUUUCCGUUCUUGACCAAAAGCUCUCAAUAACAUUCGAGUCUCUCUCAAUGGAUGGCAUAAGAGGGUGGCUCACCCACACGAACAACUUCUUCGUCGUUUAGUUUCUAUUUUUAAUCUUCCUGUUUCAACUAAUAACUUUCCUAAUGUUUGUGACUCUUGUCAAUUAGGAAAAAGUCAUAGGUUGCAUCUUCCAAUUUCACAUGUAACCUCUUUAAAACCUUUUGAAUUGGUUUACUCUGAUGUUUGGGGGCCCGCUCCAGUUUUCUCAAUGAACGUCAAUCGAUAUUUUGUUUUGUUUAUGGAUGAUUGUUCUAAAUUUAUAUGAGUUUAUUUCCUUUCCCACAAAUCACAAGUUUACUCAACCUUUUUACAAUUUCGCAAAAUGGUCAAAACUCAGUUUUAAUGUGAUAUAAAAAGCCUACAAAGUGACUGGGGAAGAGAGUAUCGUAAUGUUUCUACCUUCCUCAAGUCUCAUGGUAUCAUGCAUUGAGUCUCUUGCCCUUAUAUACAAGAACAAAAUAGGGCCAUUGAAAAGACGGAAUCGAAUCAUUGUGGAAAAACGUCUCACCUUGUUAGCACAAUCCUUUAUUCCUCAUGUUUUUUUGGGAACAUGCUUUCAAAACUGCCACUUAUCUAAACAAUACUAUUACCCCUAUUUUAAACUACGAGUCCCCAUACCAACGCUUGUAUAAAAAAAUUCCAGAUUAUGCUUUUUUUAAAAUGUUUGGUUGCUUGUGCUAUCUGUAUUUACAUCUUUAAAUUCCUCACAAAAUAUAUUUUCUUUCUAAACCGUGCAUUUUUUUAGGAUAUAGUGCUUCCCACAAAGGGUACAUCUGUUAUCAUCCACCAACAUCAAAAAUAUACAUCUACAUACAUGUAAUUUUUGAUGAAGUUGUAUUUCCAUACGUGCCUUCAUCGCCUACUCAAACUAAGGCCACUUCUUUUAAUACGAACUCUUUGCCAAAUAUUGUUGCUCACAUACCAAGCCCACAUCCUGCAAUUAACACUGGCCCAUCUACACAUCCACCUAUAUCUUCUCCUUCUACUUCUCUCGAAAGCCCAAUCAUCCAAAGCCCACAUCCUAACUCAUCCCAAAACCCUAUCACUCCAACCAACCAGACAUCAAUGACUUCAGUUGUUCCUUCUCCUUCCGCUAUUCUUUCUACUAUCUCUUCUCCAACUCGUGCCAUACCAUCCUUUUUCCGUCCUUCUGAUACAACUCAGCAUCCCAUGGUUACUAGGGCCCGUACAAAUUCGCUUAAACCUAAGAUGUUUCAUACCGCUAUUUCAUCCCCCUAUGCCAUCGAACCUUCUAAUUUUUCUCAAGCAAUUAAGCAUAAAUGAUGACACGAUGUGAUGAAAGUAGAGUAUGAGGCUCUCAUGAAAAAUCAUACUUGGUCCAUUGUUGAAUGUCCCACUAAUUCUAAUGUUGUUGGUUGUAAGUGGAUCUACAAAGUACAGAAAAAUUCUAAUGGGACAAUUGCAAAACACGAGGCACGACUAGUGGCACAAGGUUAGGUUUCAGUCAAGAGGCAGGGCUUGAUUUCUUUGACACAUUCAACCCUGUUAUCAAACCUACAACAAUCAGACUAGUUCUCUCUAUUGCCCUUUCUAGCGGCUGGAGAAUUCGGCAAAUAGACAUCAACAAUGCAUUCUUAAAUGGGGACUUAUUUGAAGAGGUGUACAUGAAGCAACCAAAAGGUUGUGAAGAUCAAUCUCGACCUAAUCACGUGUGUCGCUUACACAAGGUUUUGUACGGCCUUAAACAAGCUCCAAGUGCUUGGUUCAAUAAGCUCAAAAGCUAUUUAGUCACACAGAGGUUUCGAGCAUGUCAAUCAGAUACCUAUAUGUUUGUUCAUAUUACACCAAAAUCUACUAUAUAUGUCUUAGUAUAUGUUGAUGACCUAAUUGUUACAGGUACUGAUGAUGUCAAACUAAACCAGUUCAUCACUGAUUUAAAUCAGAUGUUCUCUCUCAAGGAUCUUGGCGAUUUGAACGUCUUUCUUGGCUUACAGAUUCAAAAGUCAAAAUCCGGUCUUACCCUCUCCCAACAGUCCUACAUUAAACAUAUUCUCAAUCGCUGCAAUAUGUCUCUGUCAUCUCUAAUAUCUACUCCUGUUGAUCCAUAUAAAUGUCUUACUAAAGUUGGAGAUCUUUUUCAUGAUCCUAAACUUUAUCGCCAAACUGUUGGUUCUCUAUAGUAUGCUACUAUUACAAGAACGGAUAUCGCCUACUCUGUGAAUCGUGUUUGUCAAUUCAUGCACUGUCCGACAAAUAAUCACUGUUAAGCAGUAAAGCGAAUUCUACGCUAUCUAAAUGGGACAAUUCAUUACUGUUUGCAUUUUUCCCCAACCAAUGCAAAAGGACUUGAUGUGUUUUCUGAUUCUGGGUGGAAUCCUGACCUUGAUGACAACCGAUCUCAAUAUGGCUUUGCUAUUUUCCACGGUUCCAAUAUCAUAAGCUAGAGCUCUCACAAACAACGUGUUGUUGCCCGCUCCAGCAUAGAGGUUGAAUACAAAUCCUUGGCCUACACUACAACAGAAUUAAUGUGGCUAAAGCAACUCAUCACAAACCUUCAUGUACCUAUUACAACACCUCAAUAUACAUGCGUGUAUAAAUGUGUAUCUAGUCAAAGUAUAUAGUCAAUAAUCAAUAGUCUUAGCGUAUGUAUAGGAGAGUAUUUCUAUUCCUCAAUUAGUAUCCACCUAUAUAUAUAUAUAUAUAUAUAUAUAUAUAUAUAUAUAUAUAUAUAUACACACACACACACACACACUCUCUCUAUUUUUGUAUCAUACAUACAGUUUACAACAUUAUAGGAUUAAGGGCUAAAAUGUAUUUUACUUUAUAUUAAUUCCUUGAUAUUUUUAUUUAAUAUAUAAAAUAUAAAUAUAAGUUUUAAUUAAUUAAUUAAUGCAAUUUAAAUUUUCGGUUCUUGGCCUAAAGUUUAUGAGACCAAAACUCAAACCAAAAACCAAAUUCAAAAUUCGGAUUGAAUAUGGUUUGGUUUGAAAUCGAUCUCUGUUGGAUUUGGUUUUCGAGUUUUUUGAUUCCGGACUAAAUAAUUCCCAACACUAAUUGGGUGGAUGUGUGUUUUUGAUUUUUAUGUAAAUGACCAUAUACGAUAAGGGUGAAGGGGGAUUGCUAGGCAAACUACCCCUGGGGUGAAACUCGAAGGGAAAAUGGUUCAAUCGAUGGAAAAGAUGGCGAAGAGGCGUCGGUCUCCAGCGAUUUCAGGUACAUGGACAGAGGAAAGGAGAAUGACAAAUGAGGCUAUGAUUGUGGCUAACAGGUAACCUUCUUGAUUCCUUCAUUUUUUUUUCUUUUGUUUUUCUUGACAUAAUCGAUAUACCUAAGUGGUUGUUUGAGGUUUGGUUUCUGAUGGAAAACUGCAAGGGAGAUGGAGGUAUUUGUAGUGUAGUGUUAGAGUAUUCUAACAAGUCGAAGAAGAAGUGCACGCAACCUGUUCAAUUUGAUGUGCAGCAACAAGGAAGAAGAAGAGAGAAGUGAUGUUGGUAAUUGACAGCUUACAAUGACAAAGGAAACACAGGAAACACGUUUCCUUUGUGUGGAUUUGUUAAAAAAAGAUUUGUUUAUUUUGUGUGCAGUUUGGGUUUAUGUGUGGUUUUGGUUUGUAAGAAGUAAUGGUUGUCUAAUUCUUUUUCUUUCUAUUUGGUAGUUUAAAGAAAUGAAUUUGGGGGUAUAUUGAUGUAUAUUCAUGUAAUAUACAUAUAUGUAUUUAUUUAGGAACUUAUAAACAA